AUAAUUAGCCGACAAUAAAGAAUGGUUUAUGAGUUUAUCCAGCAUGACAUUCCCCUCAUCAAAUAUUUCCUUCAAACUCCUCUUUCCAUUCAACAAUCCCCUCUCAACAAGCUUCAUAAUCAAAUCAUCUCUUUCCAAAUCAUUAGGUAGCAAUGCACUAUACAAGAAACAUUUUUGCACGUCCUUUUCAGUUAAAUUAUCAUAGCUUCGUCUUAGUACACUUAAAACUUCUUCCUGCAUCUCCACUCCCAUUUCCAAUGUGUCAAGUUUAUUCAGUACGUAUCUCCACCAAUGAAUGUCAGUUUUUCCUUUCAUGAAUCGAGCAAUCACACUGAUUCCAAGUGGUAAACCAUCACAUUUCCUUACAAUGUCUCUUGCAAUAUUUUCCACUUCAGGGGGAAGUGUUGAAGGUGUCCCACGGUGUCCAUGUUUUAGCAAAAACAACUCCCAAGCUUCAUCAAAAUAUAUACUUAAAGGGCUCACACUUAUCAUAUUAAUUGAUUGGCAAUCCAUCUGUUCAAACACAUGUUUCAAACGACUUGUGAUGAUCAAUUUAACACCCUUUACUUCAAGAGGAAUUCCCACCUUUUCUAGAUCAAUAUAUUUCCAAACAUCAUCCAAAAUAAGUACUAUUUUUUUUCUUUUUUCUAACUCUGAUACUAAAAUCAUUGCUCUUUUUCUCUCAUCAUCUCCGUAAAGCUUUACCUUUAUUAUUUCUGCAAUUUGCUGUUGCAAUUUGAAAAUGGUGAAAUCAUGGGAAACAGUGACCCAUAAGACAUCAUUGAAAGUUUUCUUUCUUUUUAUCUCACUCUGCAUGUAAGUUGCUAGGAAUGUUUUUCCCACUCCCCCAAUUCCAUAUAUGCCAACAGUCAAAACUCUAUUAUCUUCCAGAAGCUCCCGAAUCUUCCUAACAUUUUCCCCAAAUUCUCUGCCAAUAAAUUCAUUUGACAACACCAAAGGCUUCUCUUCCUCGUACUCUUCCACUUCUUCAGUCAAGCAUUCUAUUUCCUUAUGUAUUAUUUCAGCCAAAUAUAUUUCUUCUUCUUGCACAUAAAAAGACCCAAACUGAUUCAGUGAGUUUUUUAUAUCAAUAGCUCUUUGUUUCAUGUCCUGCAGUCCGUCCAACCAUUCAUCAACCUCUCUCUUUCGCUUCUUGCCAUGUGACUCCAACAACUGUAAUUGUGUGUGAAUGUCCUCUUCUUUACUAGUCAGAUUGGAUAUAAUUACAUCUAACAUACUUUGCAAAGUAGUCAAAGUACCAUUAACAGCUUCAUGAUCUGUUUCAUUGUUUUGGUGAAACUUCAUUUAGAGUAAUGACAUAUUUAAAGAAAAAAAAAUACAAAUACAUUUUUAAAUACAAAAUCUAAUUAAACAGUAUUUUUUUUGUUGACUUUUCCUUUUAUUUAAUUGUUGGAUCGAAGUUUGAAAUAUAUAUUACUUUAUCAAAAUAAUAUAUAUAUUUUUUCAGCAAAAAUAUUUAAUUAAAAUUAUUAAAUUUUAUGCUUUUCCUCGAUAUUUUUUUUUAAUUUUAUUAUCAAUAUUACUUGAGAGACUUGAAAUAAACAAAAACUAGCCCCUAAGAAAUACUAGUAUUUGAUAUAAAAUAAACAAAAGUUUAGAAAUGAUUAAAAAAAAUAUAGGAACUAAAAUAAAAAAUUUAAUCAAAAAAUUAAUUUGCCCUGAUAAUUUAAAAAUAAAAAACCUCAAAUAGUUGUGCUGUAUAACUUCAACACACAUAAAAAAAAUGUGUGGUUAAUUUAAAUAUAUAUAUAUAUAUAUAUGUUCACAUUAAAAAAUUUAAAAAAUAUAAUUAGUUUAAAAUACAUAUGUUGAAACACCAAAUUCUUCAUUGAGUGAAAUAAUAAAAUUGACCACUAAUUAAGAAUUAAAAUAAGAAAAGGUAACAUAUCUCUAGAGACAAAUAACAUUAAAAUUGAUGAUUGAAAAAUAGAAAUCAAACUACCUUGUAAUAAUACAAGCCCAAGAAUGAAGGAAAGAACAUAAAGACAAUAAAUUUGUAACAAAGUUACAUACCUCCUAAUAAUGAUGUUGAUCCUGUAACCAUUUCAUGGUUAAUUGAACAACCACCAACAGUAUCAGUCAUUUCCUCAGCCUUCUCUGACAGAUUAUAAAACAUGAUUAAAAGAAAAAAAAUACAUAUUAUAUAAUAAAAUUGUAGUAUAAAAGUACAAUAUAAAUAGUAUAAUUUGUUUGAAAUAAUUAGUAUUCUCAAAAACUAUGACUGUAUAAUGUGACACUAAAAAUACGUUGUUUAGAGGAUUUUAGUUUAUUCCUUCGGUUAAGUAAAAAAAUUUAUUCAUGUGCUUUAACUCUUGAAACUCGUCUCUGAAUUUCAGUCCACAGUGCUCGCACUUCAAGCGAUCAUCUUCUUCUUCAAAAACUUGAUUCCAUUACUCUUCAUCUUUAGGUCUACCCAUUGUUAUUAUAUUUUCCUCUACCCAAAAAAUCAAAGCUAAUUCUUGCUCACCACCUCAAUGACUGAGAGUUUAAUCAAAAUGUCAAUGAAAAUUCAACAACAUGGUAUUUCAAUUCACAUUUCAAAUUCAAAACACUCAAAACUCAGUUGUAAAAUCCUAAUUGGUCAAGCCAAAUGAUACUUAGGGACAUGAUGAUCCUGCACAUAAAUCGUUUAUACUGCGGUAGGUUGUACGGUAGGGUUGUAGGUAACCAUUCACAGCAUUAUGAAAUACAAAAUUAGAUAAAUAAGGAAAAAUAGUUUUGCUGGGAUGAUGGAUAAAUAAUGGAAGACAAAUUUUCAUUGGAAAAACAGAGGAAAAAAAAGAAUUACCGAGCCCUUCUUCCAGGUGGUGGUUGAUUACUGAAUGCAGCAACUUAUUCUCUUCUAAUAUAUGAAAUUAUGUUAGAAAAUGUAGGAGUGAUUUGAGAAAGAAAGAGCAAAAAUGUGAGAAAUGCAUUUGAAGUUGGGUAUUAUAUAGGUCGUUUAGGGUUUAGAGGGUUCGACUCGCUUAUCGUGUUUCAUAAUUUAAUUUUUUUUUAAAUAACAAAAAUAUUUUUAACUUUAAUCAUAUUUAAAAAUUAAUAAAUAUUAUUAAUUUAUUGUACAAUCUAUUUUUAAUUCAAUUUAUCUAGAAUAUUUCAUAUAUAUUUUUAAUAUAUUAAACUUGAUUUAAGAUGAGUUUCUUUUUUUAUAAAAAAAGUUAGUUUUAAUUCUUAAGCUUUAUUUAUGAUUUUUUUUAAAUAAUACAAAAUUAUUAUUUUAAAAAAAUAAGAACAUAUUCUUUACUAUAAUUUUUUAAAGAAUAUAUAUUCCAAUUACAAAUAAAUAAAUAUAUAUAUAUACUAUUAUCUUAAACCAUGAUUUUUAUAGUCAAAGUAAUUAGUAUUGUAAUUGAAAUGAUAAUUUAAAACUUAAUUAAAAGUUAAUAUUAAAAUUAUAUAUCAUAAAAGAAAAUUUAAUACAAGUAAAUAUUCAGUUGAUAUGAAGCAAGAAUUUUAAAUAAUUUUUAUAUACAUAUUUAAAAAAAAUAUUAAUGAUCAUUUUUGGUAGAAGAGAAUUCAAGUGACUAAAAUAGGAAGGACUUUUCAUAUAUCUAAUUUUUUGCUGCGUUUGCCCAUCUAUGUAUUUUUAAUGUCAAAGCACCAUUUUUGUAAUUUUUACUUGUGUAAAGUGUCCACUCAUUUUGAUGCUCAAUACAAAAAGGUUGCAUAAACUGUGAUUUUAUGCGGUGAAGUAUUACAACUUAUACAUGGUAACAUGAAUAAAUACAUUGAAUAACAUAAUUUACAUGAAUAAUUUUGUAAUUUCAAAGUCCUCUUUAUCAACUGCUUCACUCAACAAAGGCCGAGCCUACAAACAAGUUUUUCUUAAUUAUUAAACUCAGCAGUUGAUUUAUAUUUGCAUUCCCUUGCCUUGUUCCUUUUUUAUAAUCCAUACAAAAUGCAUGUGAUUUACAAACGUUCCUAAAAAAACAUUCAAUUAUCCGAAGCUUGGCACAUUACACAAGUUAAGGGCAUUACCACUCCUCUUCUAAAUAAGCUUGUUCUUGUAGGCAUUCUAUUCAAGAUUAUUCUCCAAGUUGUUGUCAGUACAUUUGGAAAAGUUUUGGUCUGCCAUAGGUUCUUGAAAAUACUAUUAUGGGAACAACUAGCAUACUUAGCUAGGCACUCAUAAGCAGAUUUUACGGAGAACUCCCAUGAUGCAUCACUUACCCAUGUCUGGAUAUCCUUAACCUCCUUAUUAAAUCGAACCUUAGAAAUAUACUCUAACAUUUUCUCUUCUUGUGAUGCUUUCCAUUGAAACUUAACCCUCCUCCACCUAAGCCUCCAUCUCCACUCAGAAUCCUCCCACCCUCCUACCUCUUCCACAUUCUUCCCUUGAUCCAACGAAAGAGAAAAGAGCCCAGGAUACUUGGAGAUGAGUGUGACACCACCACACCAAGCAUCCUCCCAAAAUCUAGCCUUAUCCCCACCUCCCACUUUCCACUCUAUCGCUCCUCGAAACCAACCCUUUUCUUCAUCCUCUUCGUAGAUUUUACAUAAAUCUCUCCACCAUCGUGACUGGUACUUCAAGUUAAUCUUACUACAACUAUACUCCACACCAUAUUUAGAUAUGAGGAUAUUUCUCCACUUCCCCUUUUCAUCGCUCAAGAGUCUCCACUUCCACUUUGUCAAGUUCGAAGCCACCCAUCAAAGACAAACACUCUAUCCAGUAUACUUUUUGAUGAGUCGUUCGCUUUGAACCAAGUAAACUUCCUAUCCACAAUCGACAACUCUACCAAAAAGUUCUUAUCAAUAAAAUUAUUGAAGUCUCUGAUCUCUUUGGUAUGACUUCCUCUUUCACUAGUACCUUUCCUUUCAUUAACACUUCUAACUACAUUGAAUUCGCCGCAAAAACACUAAGCCGUGUUUUGAUUUGUACUUCUAAUAUUUGACAAAUCCUCCCACAAAACGACCUUCUCAUUCAUAUUACAUAGUGCAUAAACAUUAAACAUCAAACAUCGCGCAUUUCAUUUUAGUUUUGAGAUGUUGCCCGUACAUAACAAUAAAACUCCUUCCCUCCACAUGACUAUCACAACAAAAAGCUUCUUUAUAUAUAUAAUCAACGUACUUUCAACUCCUUUUGUACAUUCAUAUUACAUUGUUAUUGUUGGAUAAUUAGCCGACAAUAAAGAAUGGUUUAUGAGUUUAUCCAACAUGACAUUCCCCUCAUCAAAUACUUCCUUCAAACUCUUCUUUCCAUUCAACAAUCUUUGUCAAUAAGAUUCAUGAUCAAAUCAAUUUUCAAAUAAUUAGGUAGCAAUGCACUAUACAAGAAACAUUUUUGCACGUUCUUUUCAGUUAAAUUAUCAUAGCUACGUCCUAGUACACUUAAAACUUCUUCCUGCAUCUCUACCCUCAUUUCCAAUGUGUCAAGUUUAUUCAGUGCAUGUCUCCACCAAUAGAUGUCAGUUUUUCCUUUCAUGAUUCGAGCAAUCACACUGAUUCCAAG
rnacentral:lncRNA from 1 species